rnacentral:tRNA from 1 species
GCUCUGAUAGCUUAACUUAAAGCAUUGGUCUUGUAAGCCAAAGACUAUAGUUUAAUUACUAUUCAAAGCU